AGAGGAAGUCCGGUGCGAAUCCGGCGCGGUCCCGCCACUGUCACCGGGGAGCGUUCCUCCAGCGAAGGCCACGGUCCGCCUCGCAUACGUCCGAUGACGUACGCGGGACUGGAAGGCCGGAGGACACGCCGAUCCGGGAGCCAGGAGACUC
rnacentral:ncRNA from 2 species